rnacentral:rRNA from 1 species
AUUGAACGCUGGCGGCAUGCCUUACACAUGCAAGUCGAGCGGGGUGAUGGUGCUUGCACUAUCACUUAGCGGCGGACGGGUGAGUAGUGCUUAGGAAUCUGCCUAUUAGUGGGGGACAACAUCUCGAACGGGAUGCUAAUACCGCAUACGUCCUACGGGAGAAAGCAGGGGAUCACUUGUGACCUUGCGCUAAUAGAUGAGCAUAAGUCGGAUUAGCUAGUUGGUGGGGUAAAGGCCUACCAAGGCGACGAUCUGUAGCGGGUCUGAGAGGAUGAUCCGCCACACUGGGACGGGGACACGGCCCAGACUCCUACGGGAAGCAGCAGUAGGGAAUAUUGGACAAUGGGGGGAACCCUGAUCCAGCCAUGCCGCGUGUGUGAAGAAGGCCUUAUGGUUGUAAAGCACUUUAAGCGAGGAGGAGGCUCGUUUGGUUAAUACCCAAGAUGAGUGGACGUUACUCGCAGAAUAAGCACCGGCUAACUCUGUGCCAGCAGCCGCAGUAA